rnacentral:RNase_P_RNA from 1 species
UCUGAUGCGUGGAAGACCGCUCCGGCCUUGUGUCGGGGAGGAAAGUCCGAGCACCGCUGGAUCACGGUGGUGGGUAACGCCCACCGUUUGGGCGCGGCGAUUCGUCGCGGCGAACAAGCCGGGAAAGUGCCACAGAAAAUAUACCGCCCGGGGCCUUGCGCCUCGGGUAAGGGUGAAAUGGUGCGGUAAGAGCGCACCGCGGGCGUCGUGAGGCGACCGGCAUGGCAAACCCCACCGGGUGCAAAGCCAAGCAGCGAUGAGGCCCGAUCCAGGCCGCUUGAAUCGCGGGUAGGCUGCUUUCCCUUACGGGAAGAGCUCGUCUGCAAAGGCGGGUCAAGACAAAUGGUCUUCGCCUCGCCGCGGCGCCCACCGCGACGAGGAACAGAACUCGGCUUACAGCGCAUCAGGCAGG